ACUUAAUAACGCAAGCUUGUCUUGAAGAAGAAAAACAAAGCCAUAAACCCCACCUAAAACCCCUCCACCGCUUUUCUCUCUUCAUCUUCGGGUUUGAAGCAAGAACAAAAGGCAGAGGUAGAUCGAUCGAACCUACAAAAGGUCAAGAUAGAGCUUUGGUUCUUUACUUGCUCUGUGGCAGAUCGAGCUCUUGGUCCAAACUACAAUGAGAAAGUCCUGACUUGGAUAAUCCAUGAAACACUUAUCUCCAGGGUGAGGCCAAGACUGCUGAAGUGAUUUCUCAUUCCUUGCACCAAGAAAAAAUGAAGCUGCUAGAGAGAUUGCUCUGGUUAUAUCAAAUGCGAAGAACAAGGUGUUCUAGAAUGCCGGUGACCUUCUGCUGAACCUUCAAGAGAUGGGUUUGGCGAACCCAAUCAAUAGAAAAUAGUUAGCAGUGAAGUUAAAGCUUGUGGUCUAUGCACUUGUUUCAGUAUUCACGUUAUGAAUGACUAGAAUAUUGAGGAACGAUAUUAUGUCAGUUUAUUAGCUGUUCCCUGCUUCAGUACUCCCUGCUAAAUGCCCUUAUUAUGUUUACUUUAAUAACGUCUAUCAAAAGGGGUUGUUGACAGAACACCCCCCAGGCUGUAAGAGAGCUGACCAUGAACUGAUCUUAUGUGCUGAUAAAAUGUUUGGUGUUUUUGUUUGGCCUUU